UACAGCCACAUCACAGUGAAAAAACCCAGUUCUCAUACAAUCACUGAAGUUAAGCAAUGUCAAGCAUGGUCAGUACCUAUAUGGGUGACUGUUUGGGAAUACCAGGUACUGUAAG